GACGUAGGGUGCAAGCGUUGUCCGGAUUUAUUGGGCGUAAAGAGCUCGUAGGCGGCUUGUUGCGUCGACUGUGAAAACCCGCGGCUUAACCGCGGGCUUGCAGUUGAUACGGGCAGGCUAGAGUUCGGUGAGGGGAGACUGAAUUCCUGGUGUAGCGGUGAAAUGCGCAGAUAUCAGGAGGAACACCGGUGGCGAAGGCGGGUCUCUGGGCCGAUACUGACGCUGAGGAGCGAAAGCGUGGGGGAGCGAACAGG
rnacentral:rRNA from 1 species